GGUUGUUGACCAAUGUUUGUUAAUCCUUUAAAAGAUUAACCGUUAAAAUUGUCAUUUACUCUACUUUCCAAUAGAUGACGCUUGAAUAAACCCGGCAAAGAGUCAACAUUUUUAAAAUUAAUUUAUUAACUAGUCAUUAUUAUUUAUUAAGCCGGUUGAUUAUCAAAACCUUGAUUAAAAUUGAAGGUGAAACAAAUCCUUGGUUCAUUUGGCCUAACAUAUUUAGUAAGUAGAAGAAAAUACAGUGAAAAUAUUACCUUGUAAAUUGUUAACCUUGUUGCUACUGUUUUUCCGGUUAAAAUAGCAUAAACUCACCGGGAAAAGUGAAAAAACUUACAUUUGUCUACAAGGUUGUGAAUCAGGCAAAUCCCUUUUUAUUAUUGAAUUAACUAAUUUAAUUUACAUACUCUAACUACUCAUUUGGAGCAAAAUUAAUUUUACAAGUUACUCUUUACUUGAGAAAUUAUGAGUUUCCUACAAAACUGGUUGGUUGGUGUGUUAUUUACAGAGUACCAUUGCCCAUGUUAAAAGUGCCAUCAUGAAAUGACCAGGUUGAUCAAUUGAAACUCAAAAGGCUUUUCCAAGUAGCCAGUGAAAAAAGGAGAGGAUUCAACAAAAGGACGCUGAAAAAGAAGGAAAAAGAUUGAAUGUUUUCUCAUUUUUUAACAUUCCCCCAUUAUUAUUAUUCUGAUCAAAGCUUGAAUAAGAUGAAAUCAAAUUAUCAAGACUUGAACAAGAAAAAAGGAGGAGGAAAAAAAGGAACAAGCAAAGGAAAUCAACAAAGGAAAAAGAGGAGGCAAAAAAAAGGUUGACCAGUUUGGAGAGGAAAGAAGUGAUUUUGAUCGUAAAACAAGUCAAAGUUAAGACAAAAUGUUUCAAUAUCAUAUUCACUAAACAAACUGGAACAUUUAAUACUAUUAUUAUCGUCAUCAUCAUUACACAAUUUAUGCAUAAAUGGUGUCUCUUGGGGCUAUUCAUUGAGAACUCUUUUGAAUCAAUAACAAGUCAUCUUUAAAAGUCAAUUACUCUGGCUUUUGGAGGAACCAUGAAAGACUGGAAGAGAAGAGAAUAAAAAAGCUACAAAUUUCUUCAUAAAAGUCUAUUUUCAUAUUAACAGAUGAUAAUAGUCGUUCCUGUAUUGUUACCAUUUGUAACAUAUGAUAAUGGAAGGAAUCAUUUUUGCUCAAAUCCCUCAUAAAUCAUGGAAUCAUAUAUUUAAAGGAUAUUCAAUUGUAAUUACCAUUUGAACUAUUUUGGAUGUAACUGAUUGUUGGUCAAACCCACCCUCUCGUCUCUCACCAUUGGUAAUACAAAGAUGUUCUUUGAUGAAAUUGUUCAAUGAUGUCAAGAGAAGCAAGAUAAAAUCUGAUUGGAAUCUCUGGAUUUAAUGAUAUAAUAAGACAUCGUAAUUAUGUUGGACUGGCAGUUUUUUCUUAACAGACCCAAUGUUUAGAUGUUUCUGUAAAUUGAAAUGUUUUCACAUCUUUACUGGUAUCUCAAUGGAUCCACUAACAAAACCAAGUUGGUUGAUUUGUUGAAACAAGAAUUAACUGAUGGUUUAUCAACUUUGUUGAUUGUAACUGUGAAAGGAUUUAUUGAUUAGCUAAUAUAGUUGGGUUCACGGAAAAAGAGAUAAAAUAACCUGAACAAAAGCAGCAAAAGAAAAAAGUGUAAACAUGAUCAAUGGUAAGAUGAGAAGAUGAAAGUGAUGAGGAUGAAAAAUCGGGUUAAAAAGAGUGAAGUUGGAUAAAUGGGUUUUGCUGCUUUCUUGAUAUUGUGAUAUUUGGUUAGGAAGAUUUAGUAGAUAAAUGGAGGAGAAGAAGAAAGAAAGAUGAAGAUAAAGAUGAAAAGAAAUAGAUAAACAUGACAAAAGUUGAGCAAGUGAAAGAGAAAUAUGAUGAUGAAAAUGAAGAGGAACCAUUUUGUUGAGGAACCAAAAGAUAGAUACAUAAAUCUUUACUGGAAAUUGCCAAUUGACAAUAAUUAAUCUAUUAGAGCAAAUUGUAUGAUUAAAUAAUGAUUUGUUGAAA